rnacentral:rRNA from 1 species
AUUGAACGCUGGCGGCAUGCCUUACACAUGCAAGUCGAACGGCAGCACGGGGGCAACCCUGGUGGCGAGUGGCGAACGGGUGAGUAAUAUAUCGGAACGUGCCCUGGAGUGGGGGAUAACUAGUCGAAAGACUAGCUAAUACCGCAUACGAUCUACGGAUGAAAGUGGGGGAUCGCAAGACCUCAUGCUCGUGGAGCGGCCGAUAUCUGAUUAGCUAGUUGGUGGGGUAAAAGCCUACCAAGGCAUCGAUCAGUAGCUGGUCUGAGAGGACGACCAGCCACACUGGGACUGAGACACGGCCCAGACUCCUACGGGAGGCAGCAGUGGGGAAUUUUGGACAAUGGGGGCAACCCUGAUCCAGCAAUGCCGCGUGAGUGAAGAAGGCCUUCGGGUUGUAAAGCUCUUUUGUCAGGGAAGAAACGGUCUGGGCUAAUACCCUGGGCUAAUGGCGGUACCUGAAGAAUAAGCACCGGCUAACUACGUGCCAGCAGCCGCGGUAAUACGUAGGGUGCAAGCGUUAAUCGGAAUUACUGGGCGUAAAGCGUGCGCAGGCGGUUGUGCAAGACAGAUGUGAAAUCCCCGGGCUUAACCUGGGAAUUGCAUUUGUGACUGCACGGCUAGAGUGUGUCAGAGGGGGGUAGAAUUCCACGUGUAGCAGUGAAAUGCGUAGAGAUGUGGAGGAAUACCGAUGGCGAAGGCAGCCCCCUGGGAUAACACUGACGCUCAUGCACGAAAGCGUGGGGAGCAAACAGG